GGCCGCGUGGCCUAAUGGUUAAGGCGCUGGUUUUCGGUUUUGUCUUUAGAGGCGAAAGUCUAUCCACCAGAGAUUGUGUGUUCAAAUCACACCGUGGUCG
rnacentral:tRNA from 2 species